UUUUGUUGGCUUCAUUGGACCUUUGGGACAUUAUUGAUGAAAGUGAAGAGCCUCCUAGUGAUGAUGCUAAUGUCAAGGUGAAGAAAGAGUACAAUUGACGUGAAAGGAAGGCUUUUGGCAUGAUUGCUAUAAAUCUUGAUGAUACCAACUUUUCACAUGUAAUUACUUGCAAUGGAUCAAAGGAAGCAUGGAAGACUCUUUGCAACAUCUAUGAGAGUAGAAACCUUGCUAAUAUUCUAUAGACAAAGAAGAAGUUCUUAUCAGUAAAGAUGGAAGAAAGAGAUGACCUC
rnacentral:lncRNA from 1 species